AUAUCAAUAAGCGGAGGAAAAGAAACCAACAGGGAUUACCUCAGUAACGGCGAGUGAAGCGGUAACAGCUCAAAUUUGAAAGCUAGCUCUUUUAGGGUUCGCAUUGUAAUUUGUAGAAGAUGCUUCGGGUGUGGCCCCGGUCUAAGUUCCUUGGAACAGGACGUCAUAGAGGGUGAGAAUCCCGUAUGUGACUGGGUGCUUUCGCUCAUGUGAAGCUCUUUCGACGAGUCGAGUUGUUUGGGAAUGCAGCUCAAAAUGGGUGGUAAAUUUCAUCUAAAGCUAAAUAUUGGCCAGAGACCGAUAGCGCACAAGUAGAGUGAUCGAAAGAUGAAAAGCACUUUGGAAAGAGAGUUAAACAGUAC
rnacentral:rRNA from 1 species